rnacentral:tRNA from 1 species
GGCUUGAGCUUCAGUGGCUAGAGUGCUGGUCUUCUAAACCAGAGGUUGCGAGUUCCAUCCUUGCUGGAGCCU